AAAAUGCGAUAAGUAAUGUGAAUUGCAAAUUCAGUGAAUCAUCGAGUCUUUGAACGCACAUUGCGCCCCCUGGUAUUCCGGGGGGCAUGCCUGUCCGAGCGUCAUUUCUGCCCUCAAGCACGGCUUGUGUGUUGGGCCCCGUCCUCCGAUCCCGGGGGACGGGCCCGAAAGGCAGCGGCGGCACCGCGUCCGGUCCUCGAGCGUAUGGGGCUUUGUCACCCGCUCUGUAGGCCCGGCCGGCGCUUGCCGAUCAACCCAAAUUUUUAUCCAGGUUGACCUCGGAUCAGGUAGGGAUACCCGCUGAACUUAAGC
rnacentral:misc_RNA from 1 species